rnacentral:misc_RNA from 1 species
GAUGAAGAACGCAGCGAAAUGCGAUAAGUAGUGUGAAUUGCAGAAUUCAGUGAAUCAUCGAAUCUUUGAACGCACAUUGCGCCCUUUGGUAUUCCAAAGGGCAUGCCUGUUCGAGCGUCAUUUGUACCCUCAAGCUUUGCUUGGUGUUGGGCGUCUUGUCUCCAGUUCGCUGGAGACUCGCCUUAAAGUAAUUGGCAGCCGGCCUACUGGUUUCGGAGCGCAGCACAAGUCGCGCUCUCUUCCAGCCAAGGUCAGCAUCCACAAAGCCUUUUUUCAACUUUUGACCUCGGAUCAGGUAGGGAUACCCGCUGAACUUAAGAAUAUCAAUAAGCGGAGGA